AGAGGAAUUUGGGUUAGCUUUAGAGUACUGAUGGUUUGGGCCAGUACUGACAUCACACAGAGGGGGCGCUGUGGAGGUACUCAUUAGCACUAAAUAGCAUCAGCUGAGGCUGCAGGUGGCUCCCAGGUUGUGAGACUGCAUUGAGAGUCUCUGGAGGUGAGACUCGUAGGAUUAACACGCAAGGAUUUGUUCAAGACACUGCUAUGAGAGGAAGCUUGGUUGUAAAUACACGAUGGAGAUGAACGCCUGGAAUCAAGGCGAGGGCUGAUCACCUGGACUGACGGUUCACCCACCGAGACGAGGAGCCGGCGCGGAGUGUCACUGAGGGAGGGCUGUUCGCCUACAAGGGCUGUGGACCUGUGUAUGUAGGCCUACUUAUGAGUUUGUGUGUGUGUGUGUGUGUGUUGUGUGUGAUUUACUUGUGUGUGUGUGUGUGUGGGUUACCCAGCCCCCAGGUCACCCCCCCCUGUACAUGAGGCCAAUCACGUGGAUAUCCGCCCUCCGACGGACCGCGUCUCACGCCCGGUGGUAUUUUUACCACGCUACAACCUGCUGCCGCGUGUGAACCAGGAAUGUUGUUUUCUUCUCCGUCUCGGAGCGUCACUGGGCUUCCUCCUCUCGCUCUCGUCUGAUUGCUGUCUCUCGCCCUGACGUUCAUCCCACCGUGCGGAGAUGGUCUUCGCUGCGCUGGACGGAGAUUACAGCCAGCUGUUCCUGUCUGCUGCUUAGCGUUUCAGCCAUCACACGUUCUCAUGUGCACACACGCACCCACAUACGCAUUAAAACAUAUUUCCAAACACAUGCAUCAUUCUUCUUUGCUGGCAAAGUGAAACAGACACUUUUUCCAAACUCAGAGUUGGUAAGAGGCCUCAGCUGUUGGAGUUGAAGUAAAUUGUCUCAAAAUGAUGUAUUGAAAUAUCGUUAGAAAUAUAAUCAAAGGCCCCCUUAUUAAUGAAGUACGGUCCUUUGCUCCGGUCUGUAUGGAAACGAGUUGCCUAACCUCCAAGAGACUUCCUGGAUCAAUAAAGGUGGAAAGAAACCUGAAAGAUAGUUAUAUUUAGUGAUAGUAUGUUUUACCGUGACUCAUCCACAUCGGCAGCAAAUCACAUGACUUCAGGUUGUAUAUAAAAAAAAAAGGUAUAAUUUAUGUAGCCUACAUUGGAUUUUAUUUAUCAUCUUUACCAGUCAGCCUCUCCCCAGCUGCACCCUAACCCUCCGGGCCGGUGGCGGUCCCCAGCAGGUACUGGGCCGCGCUAAUUCAUGUUUAAAUCCACAUAGCGUGCAUGCUAUGUUGCCUUAGCGUGACCUGGUUUGAAUUUCAGAAUAUAAGCGACUGGCUUCCCAUACUGACAGCUGAUGAUGUCAUGGAAACUCUGCUGACUGCACUUAAAAAAACGAAAAAAAUGGAGAAUGAUUUGUAAUGAAAUGCAGCC
ensembl:lncRNA